CCUACGGGGGGCAGCAGUGGGGAAUAUUGGGCAAUGGGCGCAAGCCUGACCCAGCAACGCCGCGUGAAGGAAGAAGGCUUUCGGGUUGUAAACUUCUUUUGUCAGGGACGCAGCAAGUGACGGUACCUGACGAAUAAGCCACGGCUAACUACGUGCCAGCAGCCGCGGUAAUACGGAGGUGGCAAGCGUAAUCCGGAUUUACUGGGUGUAAAGGGGGUGUAGGCGGGGAAGCAAGUCAGAUGUGAAAACCGCGGGCUCAACCUGUGGACUGCAUGUGAAACUGUUUGUCUUGAGUGCUGGAGAGGCAAUCGGAAUUCCGUGUGUAGCGGUGAAAUGCGUAGAUAUACGGAGGAACACCAGUGGCGAAGGCGGAUUGCUGGACAGUAACUGACGCUGAGGCGCGAAAGCGUGGGGAGCGAACAGGAUUAGAUACCCGUGUAGUC
rnacentral:rRNA from 1 species